rnacentral:rRNA from 1 species
CCUACGGGCGGCUGCAGUGGGGAAUAUUGGACAAUGGGGGCAACCCUGAUCCAGCCAUGCCGCGUGUGUGAAGACGGCCCUCGGGUUGUAAAGCACUUUCAGUGAGGAAGAACGCCUGGUGGUUAAUACCCAUCAGGAAAGACAUCACUCACAGAAGAAGCACCGGCUAACUCCGUGCCAGCAGCCGCGGUAAUACGGAGGGUGCGAGCGUUAAUCGGAAUUACUGGGCGUAAAGCGCGCGUAGGUGGCUUGAUAAGCCGGUUGUGAAAGCCCCGGGCUCAACCUGGGAACGGCAUCCGGAACUGUCAAGCUAGAGUGCAGGAGAGGAAGGUAGAAUUCCCGGUGUAGCGGUGAAAUGCGUAGAGAUCGGGAGGAAUACCAGUGGCGAAGGCGGCCUUCUGGACUGACACUGACACUGAGGUGCGAAAGCGUGGGUAGCAAACAGGAUUAGAUACCCCAGUAGUC